rnacentral:misc_RNA from 1 species
AAGUCGUAACAAGGUUUCCGUAGGUGAACCUGCGGAAGGAUCAUUAAAGAGAUAGGGUCUUCAUGGCCCGACCUCCAACCCUCUUGUUUAACUACCUUGUUGCUUUGGCGGGCCGUCUCGGGUCUCCGACGACUAACCCCUCGGGUUGGUGAGCGCCCGCCAGAGUCCAACCAAACUCUUGUAUUAAACCAGUCGUCUGGUAUAAAAUUUUAUUAAAUAAAA